rnacentral:rRNA from 1 species
GAUGAACGCUGGCGGCGUGCCUAAUACAUGCAAGUCGAGCGAACAGACGAGGAGCUUGCUCCUCUGACGUUAGCGGCGGACGGGUGAGUAACACGUGGAUAACCUACCUAUAAGACUGGGAUAACUUCGGGAAACCGGAGCUAAUACCGGAUAAUAUAUUGAACCGCAUGGUUCAAUAGUGAAAGACGGUUUUGCUGUCACUUAUAGAUGGAUCCGCGCCGCAUUAGCUAGUUGGUAAGGUAACGGCUUACCAAGGCAACGAUGCGUAGCCGACCUGAGAGGAGGAUCGCCCACACUGGAACUGAGACACGGCCCAGACUCCUACGGGAGGCAGAAGUGGGGAAUCUUCGACAAGGGGCGAAAGCCGGACGAAGCAACGCCGCGGGAGGGAAGAAGGUCUUCGGAUCGUAAACCUCUUUUAUUGGGGAAGAACAGAUGUAAGAGAACAAAUGCCCGUCUUGACGGUACCAAAAGAAAAAGCCCCGGCUAACUCCGGG